ACGUAGGGGGCAAGCGUUGCCCGGAAUUAUUGGGCGUAAAGGGAGCGUAGGUGGCUGAUUAAGUUAAGGAUGAAAUCCCGAGGCUCAACUUCGAAACUGUCCUUGAUACUGGUCAGCUUGAGGCUAGUAAAGGAGAGCGGAAUUCCCGGUGGAGCGGUGAAAUGCGUAGAUAUCGGGGGGAACACCAGAGGCGUAGGCGGUUCUCUAGUCUAGUCCUGACACUGAGGCACGAAAGCUAGGGGAGCAAACGG
rnacentral:rRNA from 1 species